CAUUAUUUAAAAAAAUCACCUGUUACCAUACAGAGAUUCUGUAACAUGUGACAUAAUACUAUAGUAGUAACUACCAUCAACCGUUUUAUACCUGAGGAACUGGGCUCAGCAAGUCGAAGUGGCUUGUCAGAAACCACCCAGCUAGUAAAAGAGCACAGGAACACAAAUGGCCUUCCCUGCCUCCCUCCAUUUGUGCAGUGGACAUAUGUAAUUUCCUCUGUGUGGCAUUCAUUCCUUUGGGACAUUGGUUCUCUAUUCCCUGUGGUUUUAUUUAGGCUCAAGACCACAAAAUUCCAUCCCUCUGGCAGCAAUGGUGCAAAGGGUGGGCAUUUUAAUUAAGCCAAAUCAACUAGAGAGUCUUUCCUUGGAACUAAUACAUGAAUGCCAAGAGAGAGAAAAAAUUUUUUUCUGCUGGUUUUGCUAAACUGGAAUGUCAUAGCUGCUAGCUGCCAGCAACAGUUUUCCUAAGUGUAUGAAGGAAACUCUUUUUGGGGAGCGGGGUUGGGAAGGGCCUCUUUUGAAGUAGGACAGAACUGGACCAAUAAGAAAGGGGCAAGCAGAAAUGAGAGAUCUAGAACACAACCGAGGACAGCUUUGUUUAAACCUGGGGUCUGGCUGCGUCUGUGGCUGGUACAGACUCCUGGACUUCCCAGUUAAGUGAGCCAACAAAUUCGUUUUUUUGCUUAAGCUAGCAUGAACUGAGUUCCUGUCACUUGUCUCCACAGAGUCCUGACUAAUGUUUGGCACAGGAUUAUUUAUAUAUCCUCAGAGAAUAAUGGAAGUUGGGUGCUGGCCACAACUAUCACUUCUUAAGUACUCUAGUUCCCAUGAGUCAUACCAAGUGUGAGUCCUACGGAUAUGGUUAGACAGAAGAAAAUAUAAUUAUUCCUCAAUAUUAUUAUAUGAUAAACAGGACACAAUUCAACAAACCCAAAUUAGAAGUUGGAUAGAUAACAUUUCCCCUUGGGAUGUUGUGAUGGUCUGAAUCAUGAAAAGGAUAAGGUUGAGAUUUUGAGAUAGGAUUGUUAGAAGGUUUUUAGUGAAAUGGUAAAGAAAGAGGAGCCAAUAACAGCUACUCUGUCAGUUAGUUAAAGCUGAAGGCUGGGAAGGUGAGGGGUCUGUUCUAAAGAAGUAAUCAGAAAGACAGGAUAUUGAACCACGAAGAUCAGGGGCAUUUCCAAUUAUGAAUCUUAGGGACAGAUGGGGUCCUUGACAGAUAACCCUUCUUCCUCCUGAACAAUUCUGGUGAUGGACAUCUAGGUGAGUCACCAAGCCAGAAGUAGUCCGUGGUCCAAGGAACAUAGAGGCGGAUGGUCCUUCCCAUCCUUUAAGGGUCUGGGGAUAAAAUUGUAGAGGCCCUGUGUGUGUUCCUUGGUGACUCGCCAGAGAGACUGGAUCUGGUCUGAUACUGUUGUCAUGAGAGGAAAAAGAAGAAGAAGAAAAAUUUUAAUGUGUACAGUACCAACCCCUUGCCACUUCCUGACUUCCAGGGGUAGGAUUCUUGGCUGGAUCACUCAGCUACUAGUUUUUCGUUUACUUUGUUUUAUCGAAGUAUCAUUGAUAUACAAUCUUAUACUUGGUUUCAAGUAUACAACACAGUGGUUCAACAGUUACCCACAUGAUUAAAUCUUUACCCCAUUUGCUAGGUUUUUGACAAAGUUAAGAAACAGAAGUCAGGAGCAGGCUUAUUUCUCCAUUUGAGAAAGAGGGAGAGAGGUGGGGAGGGGUAACGAAGCAAACAACGUUGAGGACAGUGGACAAGAGAAGGAGGAGAAGGGGAGAGAAACAGCUGUAGGAUUUGGGGGCAGAAAUUUGAAAAGAGGAUUUGUGGAAGCUUUGCUGUGUGUGCCGAGAUGAAAUUUCUCCUUGGCUUCCUCCCGAAGAGAAUGUCAACAGAGACACUAGUUUUGGGGCUUUUUUAAUUGACUUUGUUUUUCUCUUGGCUGUGUCACCCAGAUUUCACAGGUUUGCCAUCCCCAGCUAACUGAAGGUGCUGUGGCAUCUCACCUCCUGCACCUUUUCCCAGGACAUAGAAGAAAUGAGAGGGACAAUGAUAACUUCCCUUUAUCAAGUGGUGUGUUAGCUUGUUGGCAAUGGGGCCAGUGGAUGCUCAAGUAUCAUGUAAAGCUUCUCAGGGUGAUCUGAAAGGCAGUCAAUUGUCUUGUCAGAUGGAGAGGGUUGGGCUUUGGUGACUGAACAGUUAAUAAGUAAAAAGAUUAUGAGACUGGCCAGGUCUAAAACAAGUAUUGGAAAAUCAGAGUGCUCCCAGGAAAAGCUGUGUGCUUCAGCCCAUUGUAAGGACUUUCUAUGGGAAGACUGCAGAAGUUACAGUGUAGAAGCCUACUGGAGAAGGACUCCCAGUGAGACUGGCUGCUGCUCCAGAGUAUUUGUUGAGUUGAGCUGAACUGGUAUUUUCACCUCGUGGUAUUUUCCUGUCCCUGGUUUGCUUCAGGGUGAGAGCCUUGUCUAGAUGUUCUUAAGCCUGCACACACAUUCUUUCCUUGGCCUUCCACUCUGGUCUCAGUUUACUAGCACCUCCCCUGGGGCACUCUGUAGAGUGAAGCUGGAGGUGCUCCACCCUAAAAAUGGCACUGUUCUGGAUUUUAUCUUCCUGCCCUGAACCGUGAGAUAAACAUUCUUUUAAUCCCCAUUUUUUAUGCACUCACUAGAAAGCAGACAGGGUUGUUCCAGAAUGCGUUCCCUGUGUCAUAGAAAUCACAGAAGCAUAAAAGGAAAAACCAGAUGUGCACACAGAGCCUGCCUGGGCUUACACAUUCUUUCAUACCCAGAGUCAUAGGGCUUUAUGGUCCAUGUUCCCAAAGCCGGUUCAUUUUUUUCCUUGUUUGAAUAUGUACUCUUGCUCAUAUUCAGAAUCUCAGAGUUUCAGGGCUGGGAGGAAGUAGGCACAGCUCUGGGUGUUCAUGCACUGGGGGGUAUCUGUGGGUAUCUCCACACACCUGGGGUUUGUUUGCUUGAAAGUGCGGCUGUGUGCAGAUCUAAGCAAACUAUUCAGGGAUACCCUUAGGCUUUGAGCAACCUACUUGCAACCUAUCAAUCCAUGAAAUGCAAAGCCCACCUUCUCCAGCAGAGCCUUACAGAUUGAUUAGAUCAGAGGGAAGCUGUCAUUGGCCCCAGGCAUACUUGCAAAUUACUUUCUCUUUAGGGCUUUUGAGUCAGUGAGCCUUUUAGAGUGAAAAUGCAUAAAGUAGAUGCUGGGCCUGUUUUUGUCUACUCGGAUACACUGAUUUUUCUCACUCAAAAGAGAAGUCUGAAAGUAUGCUAUGGAUGCAAAAUUCAGAGUAUUAUCCUUUUCAUUUGAAACGCAGAGCCUGGUUUGAGGUUGGGAUUUGGAAGCUGUGUGUAGAACUGCAUCAAAGAGGUAAUAGAAGUUCCUAGUCUAGGUGGAUGAGAAGUAGGGUGGCAAACAAUUGGGCAGCUGGCACCUUGAUGUCCUGUUGUAGGAGAGCUAAAUUCUGGAGGGACUAGCUGGGACUAAAGUAGUGGAUAGGGACCUGGGUCAGGAGUAACUUUUUGGUAGUCUAACUAGAUGCUUGAUUCAUCAUUAUUUCUUGAAUGAGAACUAUAUGCUAGCCACUGUUGUAGAGGCUGAGGAUACAGCAGUAAGCAAACACACAGUCUCUGCUAUGCUUGAGCGUAUAGUUGAGUAAAUGGAGAAGGCUGUCAGGUGGUGAUGAGGGCUGAGAAGAAAAAUAAAGCAGGGCCAAGAAUGGUGGGAUGGUGCUAUUUGAUAGCUCAGUGAGGGAAUACCUUUCUGUAAAGGGUGCAUUUGAGCAGGGACCUGAAUCAAGCUAUGGACGCAGUCACGUGGAUAUUUGGAGGAAGAUCAUUCCAGCCCAAAGGAACAGCUUUGGGAAGUUGGGAGUGGGUCUAAGGAACAGCAAGGAGGCCAAUGUGGCUGGUGCCGGGUGGGUCAGGGAAGAGUGAUGGGCAGUAGGGCCAGAGAGUUGAUUGGGGGCAAGACUAUGUAGGGCUUUAUAGUGAGGGAGGUGGGAAACAAUUUAAAGGUUUGAGCAGAAUAGUGAUCUGAUCUGAGUUAGUCUUCAAAGGAUCACUCUGGCUGCUGUAGUGUUGAAUAGCAUGUAGGGAGGUAACAGAAAAAGGGGGACCAGUUAGGAGCCUGUUGUGGAAAUCCUGGGCACAGUAAUGGCAGCCCAGCUAGGGAAGUAGUGCUCGACACGGAGGGACAAAGCCAGAUACUGGGUAUAUUUCAUAGACAGAUCCAACAUGAUUUUUUGGUGGUUUGGAUGUGAUUAUGAGAAAAAGAAGAAUUAAGGAUGACCCAAGUUUUUUGUUUGUUUGUUUCCUGAGUAACUAGAAAAAAUGGAACUGCCAUUUACUGAGAUGGGGAGAAGUGAUUUUGGAGGGAAAUCAGAAGUCUGUUUUUGGACAUGGUACAUUUGAGAUGUGAUUAGACAGCCAAGUGAAGAUGCCAAAUAAGUAAUUGGUGACAAGAAUCUGGCUCAGGAAGCCAGAUUAGGUAUCAAAUGAGGCUGUGGUGCAACCUGAGGGCUCAGUUAAUUCCACAGAUCUCAUCCUGUUCUAAAAAUAAAUGGUUAGAAAGUCUUCACCAAAAAGAAAAAAAAAAGUCUUCACUGGCUCUGGGCUCUACUGAGCAUCUGAGGCAUGCUUUGAACCAGGGAUUGUCCAGACUAUAGAUGGAAUAACUCUGGUCAUUCCUCCAGAUCCAACUAGCUGUUCAUUAUUAACCACUGUUUGUCAAGUGCCUACAACCUGCCAGGCACUGUGCCAAGUGUUCAGUAUUCAAUGGGCAACAAGACAUGCUCCUUGCCCUCAUAGAAUGGCUACUCUCAUAGUGGGUUAGGACAAGGGAAUGGAGAUUUCUGUACAAUGCAUGCGUGGGAGUCACUGUGGGUGCUUGGACCUGAAGGAUAGGCCCCUGAUCAGGAGAAAGUGCCAGACAGAGCAAGUGCUAUGCAAGGUGACGCCUGAAGGAUGAGUAGGAGUAGGCAGGUGGAAAAGCAAGAGAGAAGGGUGGAGAGUGUUUUAGACAGAGAAAGGAACAUGCAUCAAGAAAAGUCUGUUCAAAGGACAGAAGUUCGGUUCAGCAUGUCCAGAGGGCAGAGUGGAGGGGGCAGGAGCAGAGACAGGCAGGUAGUGGCUGGAGAAGUAAUUGAGAGCCAUACCCUGAAGGAUCUUAGUGAGCAAUGCUGGGACUUUAUUAUAAAAAAAAGCUACGGGAAGGCUUAAAGAGUUUUCAGCAGAGGAAAGAGGCUAAUGUAAAGAAUCAGUUACAGGGAGGCAAGCCCGGAAGCAGUUACUCAGGGGAUUUGGGGAGAGUGGCAAUUUCAGACUCAUACUGCCCUAAAAAUCACCUAUAAAUGUGUCUGUACAACAUGAGGCAGGGCCUGGGUCUGCUUUGCAUAGUCUCGGUAAAUAGGAGAUGCUCUCUGAGGAGCUAAAUACUUUGAUGGGAAAGAGGUACAAGAUGCCUACAUUUUAAUAGGAGGCCAGGGAGUGGGAGGAAGCAAGGUGAAGGGCAGUCUAGAUCUGGGUGAGGCAGCCUCUAAGACGCAAGCUCCAGGCAUGGAGGGCCGGAGAAGCCAAGAUCAGGAAUCAACAAGCCUAUGGUCUUUAUGAAGAAGCUGGGGUUCUGAGAGGUAAAAGAACCUGCUGAAGAUCAUAAAGGCAGUGCCGCAGCAAAACCAGGCUUGCAAACCAGGCUUGUCUGACUGCAAGGCCAUUCGUGCCUUCCAGCACCCUCCCCGUCGCCUCUGCGGGGAAAACAACAUACUUCAAAUCGAAGGAGAACUGCUAACUCAACAAAAAGAGUAAAUAACGCCCGACUUUACAACCACAAACGAGUAAAAUCAUGUAAAAAUGUCAUAAAAUGGAGAAGGAAACACUAAACCAAAAGGAAAAUGGAAAGGCUGGGUGCACGGCCCCGUCCCUCUGGCGCGGAGGGCCGCGCGGCCUGGGUCCCUCGGUCCCGCCGCGCUCCCGGAGCGCUGGCCUCCCUUCCCGCCCGGGGCCGCGCACCGCCUCUCUCGGAGGAGCCUCCCCCGGGGCCGGACCGGGAAAAACAACCGCAAGAAACUUUGGCUCGGCUUGCGGCUCAGCGCAAAAAGGGCCAACGCUCAAGUUUGGUCCGGGUUGCGGCGGCCGGUUCCGACUCGGGGGGAAGGGGGCCGGGUGUCACGGCCCGGUCAGGCCCAAGCGCGCAUGUGCGCGAGGAGUCCCCCGGGCACUUACGGAGCGCCCACUGUGCAUGGGCGGCCGGGCUGUGCGCCCCGGGCGCGCGGGG